rnacentral:rRNA from 1 species
GCUGGCGGCAGGCCUAACACAUGCAAGUCGAACGGUAACAGGAAGAAGCUUGCUUCUUUGCUGACGAGUGGCGGACGGGUGAGUAAUGUCUGGGAAACUGCCUGAUGGAGGGGGAUAACUACUGGAAACGGUAGCUAAUACCGCAUAACGUCGCAAGACCAAAGAGGGGGACCUUCGGGCCUCUUGCCAUCGGAUGUGCCCAGAUGGGAUUAGCUAGUAGGUGGGGUAACGGCUCACCUAGGCGACGAUCCCUAGCUGGUCUGAGAGGAUGACCAGCCACACUGGAACUGAGACACGGUCCAGACUCCUACGGGAGGCAGCAGUGGGGAAUAUUGCACAAUGGGCGCAAGCCUGAUGCAGCCAUGCCGCGUGUAUGAAGAAGGCCUUCGGGUUGUAAAGUACUUUCAGCGGGGAGGAAGGGAGUGAAGUUAAUACCUUUGCUCAUUGACGUUACCCGCAGAAGAAGCACCGGCUAACUCCGUGCCAGCAGCCGCGGUAAUACGGAGGGUGCAAGCGUUAAUCGGAAUUACUGGGCGUAAAGCGCACGCAGGCGGUUUGUUAAGUCAGAUGUGAAAUCCCCGGGCUCAACCUGGGAACUGCAUCUGAUACUGGCAAGCUUGAGUCUCGUAGAGGGGGGUAGAAUUCCAGGUGUAGCGGUGAAAUGCGUAGAGAUCUGGAGGAAUACCGGUGGCGAAGGCGGCCCCCUGGACGAAGACUGACGCUCAGGUGCGAAAGCGUGGGGAGCAAACAGGAUUAGAUACCCUGGUAGUCCACGCCGUAAACGAUGUCGACUUGGAGGUUGUGCCCUUGAGGCGUGGCUUCCGGAGCUAACGCGUUAAGUCGACCGCCUGGGGAGUACGGCCGCAAGGUUAAAACUCAAAUGAAUUGACGGGGGCCCGCACAAGCGGUGGAGCAUGUGGUUUAAUUCGAUGCAACGCGAAGAACCUUACCUGGUCUUGACAUCCACGGAAGUUUUCAGAGAUGAGAAUGUGCCUUCGGGAACCGUGAGACAGGUGCUGCAUGGCUGUCGUCAGCUCGUGUUGUGAAAUGUUGGGUUAAGUCCCGCAACGAGCGCAACCCUUAUCCUUUGUUGCCAGCGGUCCGGCCGGGAACUCAAAGGAGACUGCCAGUGAUAAACUGGAGGAAGGUGGGGAUGACGUCAAGUCAUCAUGGCCCUUACGACCAGGGCUACACACGUGCUACAAUGGCGCAUACAAAGAGAAGCGACCUCGCGAGAGCAAGCGGACCUCAUAAAGUGCGUCGUAGUCCGGAUUGGAGUCUGCAACUCGACUCCAUGAAGUCGGAAUCGCUAGUAAUCGUGGAUCAGAAUGCCACGGUGAAUACGUUCCCGGGCCUUGUACACACCGCCCGUCACACCAUGGGAGUGGGUUGCAAAAGAAGUAGGUAGCUUAACCUUCGGGAGGGCGCUUACCACUUUGUGAUUCAUGACUGGGGUGAAGUCGUAACAAGGUAACCGUAGGGGAACCUGCGGUUGGAUCACCUCCUUACCUUAAAGAAGC